GGUACAAAGAGAUGCAAUCUCGCAAGAGCAAGCAAACCUCAAAAACGACCAUCCUCAGUUCGGAUUGGAGUCUGCAACUCGACUCCAUGAAGUCGGAAUCGCUAGUAAUCGCGGAUCAGCACGCCGCGGUGAAUACGUUCCCGGGCCUU
rnacentral:rRNA from 1 species